UACGCUAGAUGGCGCUAAUCAAAUUUUAAUUUUACCUGUCAAUUUAACUACUUAAUCUAGUAAUUUCAUUCUCUCAACGCGAAGUCAUUUCCGUACUGAUAAAUUAAUUAACGCUAGUAAGCUCACAAUUAGUUUUAACUUUCAAUGCACACUGACAAAAUGGAGCUCAUAAUUCUAAAAUCUGUUUUUAAUAUUAACUACUGUAAAGCUUAAUCAACUUAAUUAUAUAUGCAUGUUUAGCAAUGAAUUGAAUUUGGAACUUGUCCAAAUGUUUAACGUCGCGAAUAAUUGAGACUCCACCGCAUAUUUAUUAAAUAGCCUUAUUUUAAGUAUGCAUAUGAACGAUUACGAUCGUGAGUUCGAAUGCGAGAAAUGUGCUCUGUUUCAAAAGAAUGUCGUCCAGUGGAGGAUAUUAUAGGUUGGAGAGAAACUUUUCUCUUGAUAAAUCAGCCGGCUACACCCACGGAAUGGGUUGUUCCGUGGAAAGUUCCAGCAAGUGAACAUAAUAAUAAGGAUAACGUGGGUGGUCAGUCAGGAUGUCGUUUGUUCUCAACAAUUUACCAUCGAAUCAACGAGAAUAACUUUGCGUUCGAUAUUCAAUUUCAUUGAAACUAAUGAAGAACAAUGCGAUUCCUGAUAGAAUGGUCAAGUGGGAUUUAAAACGAAAAGAAUGAUCAUUGGACAGAAAACGUAAAGGAAAAUAGUAGCCUCUGAUGAAUAUCUAGUUGACC